AUUGAACGCUGGCGGUAUGCUUAACACAUGCAAGUCGAACGGUAACAGGCCUUCGGGCGCUGACGAGUGGCGGACGGGUGAGUAACGCGUAGGAAUCUGCCUUAUAGUGGGGGACAACGUGGGGAAACCCACGCUAAUACCGCAUACGCCCUACGGGGGAAAGCGGGGGAUCGUAAGACCUCGCGCUAUGAGAUGAGCCUGCGUUAGAUUAGCUAGUUGGUAGGGUAAUGGCCUACCAAGGCUGUGAUGGGUAGCCGGCCUGAGAGGGUGAACGGCCACACUGGAACUGAGACACGGUCCAGACUCCUACGGGAGGCAG
rnacentral:rRNA from 1 species